rnacentral:tRNA from 1 species
GACUCCGUAGCUCAGCUGGUAGAGCAAAUGACUCUUAAUCAUUGGGUCGUGAGUUCGAUUCUCACCGGGGUCA